GCCGCAGUGAAUAGGCCCUAGCAACUGUUUAACUAAAACAUAGCUCUCUGCUAAGUCGCAAGACGAAGUAUAGGGGGUGACACCUGCCCGGUGCUGGAAGGUCAAGGGGAUUUGUUAGCCGCAAGGCGAAGCUUUGAACCGAAGCCCCAGUGAACGGCGGCCGUAACUAUAACGGUCCUAAGGUAGCGAAAUUCCUUGUCAGGUAAGUUCUGACCCGCACGAAAGGUGUAAUGAUUUGGGCACUGUCUCGGCAGCAGACUCGGUGAAAUCUUAGUACCUGUGAAGAUGCAGGUUACCCGCAACUAGACGGAAAGACCCCAUGGAGCUUUACUGUAGUCUGCUAUUGAGUUUCGGUUGGAUAUGCACAGGAUAGGUGGGAGACGAUGAACCUGGGAUUUUGGUUUCAGGGGAGUCACCGUUGGGAUACCACUCUUAUUCAACUGGAAUUCUAACGAUGUGCCGUAAUCCGGGCAUCGGACCGUGGCAGAUGGGCAGUUUGACUGGGGCGGUCGCCUCCCAAAGAGUAACGGAGGCGCGCAAAGGUACUCUCAGAAUGGUUGGAAAUCAUUCAUCGAGCGCAAACGCAGAAGAGUGCUUGACUGCGAGACAAACAGGUCGAGCAGGGACGAAAGUCGGCGUUAGUGAUCCGGCGGUGCAGAAUGGAAUGGCCGUCGCUUAACGGACAAAAGCUACCCUGGGGAUAACAGGCUGAUCUCGCCCAAGAGUUCACAUCGACGGCGAGGUUUGGCACCUCGAUGUCGGCUCAUCGCAUCCUGGAGGUGAAUUCGCUUCCAAGGGUUGGGCUGUCCGCCCAUUAAAGCGGUACGCGAGCUGGGUUCAGAACGUCGUGAGACAGUUCGGUCCCUAUCUGUUGUGGGCGUUGGAAAUUUGAGGAGAGCUGCCCCUAGUACGAGAGGACCAGGGUGGACGUUCCUACGGUGCACCAGUUAUCACGCCAGUGGUACAGCUGGAUAGCCGAGAACGGACCGGAUAAACGCUGAAGGCAUCUAAGCGUGAAACCGACUCCAAGAUUAGAUUUCCCAUCAACUUGAUUGAAUAAGACCCCUUGAAGACUACGAGGUUGAUAGGUCAGAGAUGUAAGUGUGGUGACACAUUCAGUUGACUGAUACUAAUAGGUCGAAGGUUUAUUCAC
rnacentral:rRNA from 1 species